rnacentral:rRNA from 1 species
CAGCCGCCGCGGGAAUACGUAGGUGGCAAGCGUUGUCCGGAAUUAUUGGGCGUAAAGGGCUCGCAGGCGGUUUCUUAAGUCUGAUGUGAAAGCCCCCGGCUCAACCGGGGAGGGUCAUUGGAAACUGGGAAACUGAGUGCAGAAGAGGAGAGUGGAAUUCCACGUGUAGCGGUGAAAUGCGUAGAGAUGUGGAGGAACACCAGUGGCGAAGGCGACUCUCUGGUCUGUAACUGACGCUGAGGAGCGAAAGCGUGGGGAGCGAACAGGAUUAGAUACCCCCGUAGUCCCUGUCUCUUAUACC